GAUGAACGCUGGCGGCGCGCCUAACACAUGCAAGUCGUACGAUUAAAGCACCUUCGGGUGUGUAUACAGUGGCGAACGGCGGAUUAACACUUGGGCAACUUGCCCCUUUCAUUGGGUUAGCGACGGAAAACCGUGGAUAGUACCGAAUACUUCGAGACUUCCCCUUUGAAGACUCGAGAAAGCACCGGCUGCGAGGGAUGGUCCCGCGGGUUGUUAGUUUUUUGGUGGGGUCACGGCCUACAAGGGCAAUGAUGGGUAGCGGGGUUGAGAGACCGACCAGCCAGAUAGGGACUGAGAGACGGGCCAGACACCCACGGGAGGGAGCAGUGGGGAAUCUUGCAGAAUGGGCGAGAGCCUGAUGCAGCGACGCCGCGUGCGGGAUGAAGGGCUUCGGGUUGUAAACAGCGUUCAGCAGGGACGAGGCGAAAGUGACGGUACCUGCAGAAGAAGCCACGGCUAACUACGUG
rnacentral:rRNA from 1 species